rnacentral:rRNA from 1 species
AGUGAACGCUGGCGGUAGGCCUAACACAUGCAAGUCGAACGGCAGCACAGUAAGAGCUUGCUCUUACGGGUGGCGAGUGGCGGACGGGUGAGGAAUACAUCGGAAUCUACUUUUUCGUGGGGGAUAACGUAGGGAAACUUACGCUAAUACCGCAUACGACCUACGGGUGAAAGCAGGGGAUCUUCGGACCUUGCGCGAUUGAAUGACCCGAUGUCGGAUUAGCUAGUUGGCGGGGUAAAGGCCCACCAAGGCGACGAUCCGUAGCUGGUCUGAGAGGAUGAUCAGCCGCACUGGAACUGAGACACGGUCCAGACUCCUACGGGAGGCAGCAGUGGGGAAUAUUGGACAAUGGGCGCAAUCCUGAUCCAGCCAUACCGCGUGGGUGAAGAAGGCAUUCGGGUUGUAAAGCCCUUUUGUUGGGAAAGAAAAGCAGCAAGUUAAUACCCCGCUGUUCUGACGGUACCCAAAGAAUAAGCACCGGCUAACUUCGUG